rnacentral:rRNA from 1 species
AUUGAACGCUGGCGGCAGGCUUAGCACAUGCAAGUCGAGCGGGGUGAUGGUGCUUGCACUAUCACUUAGCGGCGGACGGGUGAGUAAUGCUUAGGAAUCUGCCUAUUAGUGGGGGACAACAUCUCGAAAGGGAUGCUAAUACCGCAUACGUCCUACGGGAGAAAGCAGGGGAUCACUUGUGACCUUGCGCUAAUAGAUGAGCCUAAGUCGGAUUAGCUAGUUGGUGGGGUAAAGGCCUACCAAGGCGACGAUCUGUAGCGGGUCUGAGAGGAUGAUCCGCCACACUGGGACUGAGACAUGGCCCAGACUCCUACGGGAGGCAGCAGUGGGGAAUAUUGGACAAUGGGGGGAACCCUGAUCCAGCCAUGCCGCGUGUGUGAAGAAGGCCUUAUGGUUGUAAAGCACUUUAAGCGAGGAGGAGGCUCUUUUGGUUAAUACCCAAGAUGAGUGGACGUUACUCGCAGAAUAAGCACCGGCUAACUCUGUGCCAGCAGCCGCAGUAA